UACGAAGGGGCGAGCGUUGUUCGGAAUUACUGGCGUAAAGGGCGUGUAGGCGGCUCCUUUGUCGCGUGUGAAAGCCCGGGCUCAACCUGGGAAUUGCGCGCGAAACGGGGGGGCUUGAGUUCGGGAGAGGAGCGUGGAAUUCCCAGUGUAGAGGUGAAAUUCGUAGAUAUUGGGAAGAACACCGGUGGCGAAAGGCGGCGCUCUGGACCGAGACUGACGCUGAGGCGCGAAAGCGUGGGGAGCAAACAGG
rnacentral:rRNA from 1 species